AGUGGAUGGGGAGCAACCUAGUUGUGCGUGUGUAAAGGUAGUGCCAAGAAAAGCGAUGAUCAUGUUGAAAAUCAAUUCCCGGUACCCGAAACCGACACAGGUGGGCAAGUAGAGAAUACUAAGGGGCGCGAGGUAACUCUCUCCAAGGAACUCGGCAAAAUGACCCCGUAACUUAGGGAGAAGGGGUGCCACCGAGAGGUGGUCGCAGUGAAGAGGCCCAGGCGACUGUUUAGCAAAAACAUAGGUCUCUGCAAACUCGAAAGAGGAGGUAUAGGGGCUGACGCCUGCCCAGUGCCGGAAGGUUAAAGAAGUUGGUCAGUUUUAGGAUGAGGCUAGCGACUGAAGCCCCGGUGAACGGCGGCCGUAACUAUAACGGUCCUAAGUUAGCGAAAUUCCUUGUCGGGUAAGUUCCGACCUGCACGAAAGGCGUAACGAUCUGGGCGCUGUCUCGGAGAGAGGCUCGGCGAAAUAGGAUUGUCUGUGAAGAUACGGACUACCUGCAUUUGGACAGAAAGACCCUAUGAAGCUUUACUAUAGCUUGGAAUUGUGUUCGGGCUUCCUGUGCGCAGGAUAGGUGGGAGGCGUAGAAGGUAUUCUUGUGGGGAUACUGGAGCCAACGGUGAGAUACCACUCUCAGGAGGCUAGAAUUCUAACUUAAUUAAGGACAGUUUCAGGUGGGUAGUUUGACUGGGGCGGUCGCCUCCAAAAAGGUAACGGAGGCGUACAAAGGUUCCCUCAGACUGGUUGGAAAUCAGUCGAAGAGUGCAAAGGCAGAAGGGAGCUUGACCGCGAGAAGUACAGUUCGAGCAGGGUGGAAACACGGUCUUAGUGAUCCGACGGUGCUGUGUGGAAGGGCCGUCGCUCAACGGAUAAAAGUUACUCUAGGAUAACAGGCUGAUCUCCCCCAAGAGUUCACAUCGACGGGGAGGUUUGGCACCUCGAUGUCGGCUCAUCGCAACCUGGGGCGGAAGUACGUCCCAAGGGUUGGGCUGUUCGCCCAUUAAAGCGGUACGUGAGCUGGGUUCAGAACGUCGUGAGACAGUUCGGUCCAUAUCCGAUGUAGGCGUGAGAAUAUUGAGAGGAGCCUUCCUUAGUACGAGAGGACCGGGAAGGACGCACCGCUGGUGUACCUGUUAUGAUGCCAAUUGUAAACGCAGGGUAGCCAAGUGCGGAGAGGAUAACCGCUGAAAGCAUCUAAGUGGGAAGCCCACCUCAAGAUGAGUAUUCUGGUGUAAGGUCACGGGAAGACGACCCGUAAAUAGGCACGAGGUGGAAGUGCAGAGAUGUAUGAAGCCGAAGUGUACUAAUAGACCGUCGGCUUGACC
rnacentral:rRNA from 1 species